GCUGGGCGUGGUGGUGGGCGCCUGUAAUCCCAGCUAUUCUGGAGGCUGAGGCAGGAGAAUCGCUUGAACCCGGGAGGUGGAGGUUGCAGUGAGCCGAGAUUGCACCACUGCACUCCAGCCUGGGUGACAGAGCGAGAGUCUGUCUCAA
ensembl:misc_RNA Metazoa_SRP Metazoan signal recognition particle RNA